rnacentral:rRNA from 1 species
AAUCAACGCUGGCGGCGUGCCUCAGACAUGCAAGUCGAACGAUUAAAGCUCUCUUCGGAGAGUGUAUAGAGUGGCGCACGGGUGAGUAACACGUAAGUAAUCUACCUUCGAGUGGGGAAUAACGUCCGGAACGGACGCUAAUACCGCAUAAUGCAGCGGCAUCGCAAGAUGACAGUUGUUAAAGAUUUAUCGCUUGAAGAGGAGCUUGCGGCAGAUUAGCUAGUUGGUAAGGUAAUGGCUUACCAAGGCUACGAUCUGUAACCGGUCUAAGAGGACGGUCGGUCACACUGACACUGAAUAACGGGUCAGACUCCUACGGGAGGCAGCAGUCGGGAAUUUUGGGCAAUGGGCGAAAGCCUGACCAG